AGGCAGCAUGGGGAAUAUUGCACAAUGGGGGAAACCCUGAUGCAGCGACGCCGCGUGAAGGAAGAAGUAUCUCGGUAUGUAAACUUCUAUCAGCAGGGAAGAUAGUGACGGUACCUGACUAAGAAGCCCCGGCUAAUUACGUGCC
rnacentral:rRNA from 1 species